rnacentral:rRNA from 1 species
UACGUAGGGUGCGAGCGUUAAUCGGAAUUACUGGGCGUAAAGCGUGCGCAGGCGGUUUUGUAAGCCAGAUGUGAAAUCCCCAGGCUUAACCUGGGAAUGGCAUUUGGGACUGCAAGGCUGGAGUGCGGCAGAGGGGGAUGGAAUUCCGCGUGUAGCAGUGAAAUGCGUAGAUAUGCGGAGGAACACCGAUGGCGAAGGCAAUCCCCUGGGCCUGCACUGACGCUCAUGCACGAAAGCGUGGGGAGCAAACAGG